rnacentral:tRNA from 1 species
GCGGGCAUAGUUUAGGGGUAAAACACCAGCCUUCCAAGCUGGUUUCGACGGUUCGAUUCCGUCUGCCCGCA